AAAGCUUCUUCCUGGCUGGUUGGGCUGCUUGCUCUUGAAGCCUUCAGUCUCUAUGCACGCAGCAUGCCUUCCCAGCCUCCUGUGGUUGUAGAGUGUAUAGAAGGCAGUUGGAUCACUAUGGACAGCGGGUAAGAGCUGAGGAAGCAGCCUCCGCCAGGUGGUAACAUGGAGGACCCUGAAGACCAUUGGCCAUUCUCUGACCAUCUCAAGCCAGAGGUGACUUGAUCUGUCACCCAGCUGUGGCCCAUGAGCAUUAUCUAAGGAGGAACAUUUUUGCUUACGUUUCCAGUGCUCUACAUAAGCCCUAGGCCCUGGGAGGCACUGAAAUGCUCAAUGGGAGCUCCAUGUGUGCAGGCUUAUGGACUGGUAUAUGCAUAGGAGCGAAAUUACUGAAUAACUUACGUGAAACAUUUUGACGAACUGUCAUAUUGUUACCCAAAGUGAUUGCACUGUUUUACAAAUCAUAUUGGCAAGAAAUACUACUUUCAUGGCUCUGGCUAUGAACAUCAGCAUAUAGAGAAUGGAUCACUACCAAAGAAGGCACCCGAAUGUGUCUGUCUCAUCCUGGGGAAACUCAUUCAUCUGUAUAUGUACUCAGCAAGUGUUUCCUGGCACCUGCUCUGGGUCACAGUGCUGGGCACUGGAAGCUGAGAGAUGUGGAAGAAGGCUGGACAUUCAAGAUGAGAAGCCCGAGGCUGGUAAACUAGAGUCCAAGGGCAGAAAGCUGGGACAAUGGCUGGAGGAAGAAAUGAGAGGAUCUCUAUACCCAGGCCUUGGCUUCUAUGUCCCUUCUCGAAGUGGUUGAAGUGCAGAUUUCUGAUUCUGUACCCAGCCUCCAGGGACACAGUACACAGUAUGCUGGGAAUGGCGGUGGGUGUUUGAGGUACAUUACUUCCAGACAAAACAUGGCUGCAGAGGGAUACCAAAAGCAUCUUCUGGUGGCUGAAGCCCUGUCUGCACAAGUGUCUGUGUUCUUCAAUGGUUCAGGCAAGCUCAGACAGACCCUCUGCUUCUCUUAACCUGAGACACUAGUUUCCCCAAGAACUUUGAGCUGAAGGUUCCUUGCUGUGUCCCCUACCUGGCUGUGAGGACUUUGAGUAUAAUUAUCCUAUCUUAUUUGUUGCUGUGCUCCCAGUGUCUUGGAUGGAGCCUGACAUCUAGUCAGUGUUAGUAAAUGUUGAUGUGUAUUGAAUUUUGCAAGGAUCUGCAGCCCUGAGAAGAGGGGAUACUUCUUGGAAACCUCUGUGGGCUAAAUUGAGGGUUAAGGACUGGGACUGGAAGGCAGAGAUUCCAGAGUGAUAACCACAGUAGUUACUAUUUCAUGAGAGCCUCCAUGUGCCAGCCUCUAAGCUAGGCCCAUACCAUGCAUUACCUCUUGUCCCCACUUUACAGAAACUAAGGCUUAGACAAGUUAAGCAACUUGCUAAAGAUCAAACAACUCAAUAUGUGUUGGAGUCAAAUGAACGCAUUUCUUUUCCAUUUCCCUCAUUUACUCCACUAAUGACAGUACUUAAAUUGUAGACUAGGAAUUAAAAUAGCAGAAGCCUGACUUGAGAGGGCAGAGCCCCUGCGUUUGAGUGCCUGAAAGUCAGUCAUGGGUAGAAAGAACAGUCUUGUAGCAGAGCUCUGGGCAAGGGAGGAGCCGUGAGCAGGUGGACAUGAACUCACUGUGACAACUCUCCAACAGUGAAAGCAGGUUCCCAUGGAAUCCAGGGAAAUUACUGAAUAACUUUCAACACAAAAAUGUGUGCUAGUGAGCUGUAGAGCCUUUAUAUCCCCCCAAAACAUAUUAUGGGGGUGGGGGGGGGGCGCGGAAUUCUGAAUUUUUGUUGUUGUUGUUGUUGUUGAGACAGAGUUUUGCUGUUGUUGCCCAGGCUGGAGUGCAAUGGCACAAUCUUGGCUCUCCACAACCUCCGCCUCCUGGAUUCAAGCGAUUCUCCUGCCCCAGCCUCCAGAGUAGGGGCUGGGAUUGUAGACAUGCGCCACCACGCCUGGCUAAUUUUGUAUUUUUAGUAGAGAUAGGGUUUCUGCAUGUUGAUCAGGCUGGUCUCGAACUCCUGACCUCAGGUGAUCCACCCGCCUUGGCCUCCCAAAGUGCUGGGAUUACAGGUGUGUGCCACGGCGCCCGGCCUAAGUAAAUAGUUUGGAAAGCUGCAUCCAAUAGUCUCUUUUGAAGAUUCACAAUGCACCCUAGCUUGUUAACUAUUCCAAGAAGUCCCCGGAAAAGAAUGCUUGUUUGACUUUCUUGAAUCCAGUGUUGCCCAUGUUUAUUUGACUAGUGAGCAGGUUUUUUUGUUUGUUUGUUUGUUUUUUAAGUGACACUUUUUAACACUCUGAGGCAGUAAUAUUGUACUGAACACAUGGGGAAUCUUCUGUGGAAGUUUGGCCUGGAAUACAUCCUCUGUGUUCCUUCUCGCCCCGUGGCUGAGUGAGUGUGCUGUAAAAGCUUAGUGACAGAAAAGCCCCACUUAGCCUAUUUGUGAUGAUUUCCUAAACCGGGCAAAUAACUCAUCUGAAUGGCUGAGGUGAUAAACUCACAGGAGGAGAAGAUGCUGGAGGAAGUGUCAUGUGUCCUGCAUGUAGGUACCACUUCACCUCCCAGCAAGGCGAUGCUGAUAGCAACGUUUUCCUUGGGUGUUGAAUUUUCCAUCCUGCAAUUACGUCUUAAGCCAUAGAUAAAAUUCACAUCCACGUUUCACUCAAGAUAAACCUAACAUCAUAAUAAUACAGAAGAUUAAUUCAUUGGGGAAAAAUAGAAGAAAAUUGGUCUUGGCUUAAAGAGAAGUCAACAUUUAGAAUGUGUAGAAGGGGAUUUCUUCUGGAUCACACUCUGUCCUCAACAGUGGCAUGUGAAAAUGUAUGUGGUUCGCUUUAGUGCAUGCAUGUUUGUGCCUGUCCCACUGACACAUCCACAGUGUGACCCAUAGAGGUCCACUUCUAAGACCCCUAACUCUGAGUCCAACCCACCCUUUUGGGCUCACUGCAGUCAUUUCUCUCUGAAGUCUUCCUUGACAACCUAGGCAUCAUCAGUUUUUCUCUUCUCUGAUCAUCUUAGCAAGUGUAUCCAUAAGCUAUAAUCACAAUCAUGCUGCAUAACAAAACCAAAAACUCAAUGGCCAAUAACAAUGAACAUUUAUUUUUUGUUUUCAUGUCUAGAGGCCAGGUGGGGGGUGGCUGAUCUAAGCUGGGUUUUGCUCUAGGUUAGAUUUAGUCUAGGUUGGCCUCACAUGUCUCUCAUUCUUCAGGUGUCAGGAGGCCACCAUGGGCCUGAUCUUCAGGACAGAUGCCUCUUAAGACUUGGGCUUUGACUCAUACACUGUUACUGCCACCCAUGUCCUGUUGGCCAAAGUCAAUUUCAUUACCAAGCCCAAGAUCUGUGGAGUGGAGAAAUGCAUUUUGAAGGGGAGGGAGUCAAUCUGUAAUGAGCACCAUGAUGUACCAUAGAGCAUUUGUAGUCAUGAGCCUGAUUUAGACACUUGGUGGGGUAUCUCUGUGCUCUUAGGAAUUGUGUCUCUGUGUCUGUCAGAGGUGAUAACAUUGGAGCUGAGCCUUAAAAAAUAAAAGUUUCCUCAAACACCU
rnacentral:lncRNA from 1 species